GCAGCCCCGAGCGGAGGAAGCCCCAGGGGAGGGAGCAGCCUGGCUGGCGAAAGGCUGCGCCGGGAGGCGCGGCCCGCUCCCCUCAGGCAACUCUUGCUCUUUCCCGCCCGUCUCGUGAGGGCCGGGGCUCCCAGCGCCCUGAGGGACGCGGUCCCGCUCCUGCCCGCCCGCCCCGCCAGGCACGGGGCUGCCCUCCCGCCUGACGCGAGGGACGGAGCGGGGCCAGCAGCGCUCACGUCGACCCCGUCCUUCCCGCCUCUCCGCUGAGGGACGCGAGCUCCCGGCCGCGGUGUCCCCGUCUCAUCCCUCCGCCAGCCCCUCGCCCGCCGCCGUCAGACCUGGCCCUGCCCCAGCCGAGGGGCUCUCCCCGCAGCACGAGAACGCGGAGCCUCCGCCGGCAGAGUGUGGGUCCGCGCUGCCUUCCAGGGAAGCCUACCAAGGGACACGUUGGGGAAUGGAAAUCCCAUUCCCCGCACGCUGGGCCUCCGGGGCCAAGGCAAACAGUCCCCGGUGAAUCAUGCGGUGUGUCCGCCCCUGCCCGAGCUUGGAGGAGUCCCCUCAGGGAAAAUGCUGCAAUAAGCGGUGGAAUAAGCGAGUCGGGUGCAGGGGGACACCGCUGCUGAGCUGGCCCCGCAGCUUCACCGUCCAGAUGGAGAAAGCAGAGAGUGGCGUUUGUAUCAGUAGUUUUAUGGCCCUAAAAUCACUAAGCCUUGCAACUCCAAGAACCAUGUUGCAUGGAGUGCCAGACAAGUCAGAUGUGGUUUGUGCCUCCCAGUGCCGCUCAAAUGAUGGGCAGACUUGGAAAUCAGCAGAAGUAACUUUGAUUUGACUCCUGAAAGACUGGCCCUACAAUACCUGGACUUGUGACAGCAGUUCCUGGAGGACUUGGUGCCUUAUAGAGAGCAUGAAGAAAUGUGAGUGAGUGUUUGUUCCCAUGGUUGCCAGACCUGAUUCAAGGUAAGAGAAGAGAGUAAGGCAGGUCCUUACAGCCCAGGCUGUUCCUGUACUUGCCAGGCUGUGCAGAGGACCCCGAGUGCUGUUCAAGCUUCUAUAAGGGUAGGCAACGACUGAACAUGUCUAGACACCAGUUUGGGAAUAAAAUAUCUAGAUUUUUUUUUAAAGCUUCUACA
rnacentral:lncRNA from 1 species